rnacentral:rRNA from 1 species
GACGAACGCUGGCGGCGUGCUUAACACAUGCAAGUCGAACGGAAAGGCCCUGCUUUUGUGGGGUGCUCGAGUGGCGAACGGGUGAGUAACACGUGAGUAACCUGCCCUUGACUUUGGGAUAACUUCAGGAAACUGGGGCUAAUACCGGGUAGGAGCUCCUGCUGCAUGGUGGGGGUUGGAAAGUUUCGGCGGUUGGGGAUGGACUCGCGGCUUAUCAGCUUGUUGGUGGGGUAGUGGCUUACCAAGGCUUUGACGGGUAGCCGGCCUGAGAGGGUGACCGGCCACAUUGGGACUGAGAUACGGCCCAGACUCCUACGGGAGGCAGCAGUGGGGAAUAUUGCACAAUGGGCGGAAGCCUGAUGCAGCAACGCCGCGUGCGGGAUGACGGCCUUCGGGUUGUAAACCGCUUUCGCCUGUGACGAAGCGUGAGAGACGGUAAUGGGUAAAGAAGCACCGGCUAACUACGUG